rnacentral:rRNA from 1 species
AUACAGAGGGUGCGAGCGUUAAUCGGAAUUACUGGGCGUAAAGCGCGCGUAGGCGGCUUAUUAAGUCAGAUGUGAAAUCCCCGGGCUCAACCUGGGAACUGCAUCUGAUACUGGUAAGCUAGAGUUUGGGAAAGGGAAGUAGAAUUUCAGGUGUAGCGGUGAAAUGCAUAGAGAUCUGAAGGAAUACCAGUGGCGAAGGCGACUUCCUGGCCUAAAACUGACGCUGAGGUGCGAAAGCGUGGGUAGCAAACGGGAUUAGAAACCCCAGUAGUCC